UACAGAGGUCUCAAGCGUUGUUCGGAUUCAUUGGGCGUAAAGGGUGCGUAGGCGGCGCGGUAAGUCGGGUGUGAAAUCUCGGGGCUUAACUCCGAAACUGCAUUCGAUAACUGCCGUGCUUGAGGACUGGAGAGGAGACUGGAAUUUACGGUGUAGCGGUGAAAUGCGUAGAUAUCGUAAGGAAGACCAGUGGCGAAGGCGGGUCUCCUGGACAGUUCCUGACGCUGAGGCACGAAGGUCAGGGGAGCAAACGGGA
rnacentral:rRNA from 1 species